UUUUAGAUCGGGAUCAAAAAUUACCAUUAUGUAACUUGCAAGAACAAUUGAGAAAUGCAGCAUAAACAUAAUAAAUACCAGAAGUAAAUCAGAGCAGAUGAAUAAAUCUUCUGCUGAUGGGUAACUAUUUGGAAAUUAACAGAAACCAGCAACCACUUGAAAAUUAAAAAAGCUGAAAUAAGAUGAUUUAACAAGAUCAUUUCAGUAAAGGGACAUCACAUAGCUGAGUUGCUUAGAUAUUUGAUUUGAUAUCUUCUGAAGUUGCUUGUAUACUUGAUUUCAGAUCUUCUGAAUACACAACAGAAUUCCAUGAUGGGUUCCGUGGAAGAAAUGUGUCAGAAAC
rnacentral:misc_RNA from 1 species